rnacentral:lncRNA from 1 species
CGCCUGGCUAAUUUUUGUAUUUUUAGUAGAGAUGAGGUUUCACCAUGUUGGUCUCAAACACCUGACCUCAGGUGAUCUGCCUGCCUCGGCCUCCCAAAGUGCUGGGAUUUCAGCCAUGAGCCACCGUGCCUGUCCUGGAGGAUGAAUUUUUGAAAAUAUUUGGAAGUCAUUCAGAUUUCCUUGAGGUAAUGCCAUUUUUAUUCAAAAACAAGGUGCCACUAACGUAAGUGAUAUUUCUUGCCUGGAUCAUAAACUGGCUUGGAAGACAACCCUAAAGAAGGAAUUCUAAAGCAGACUUCUCAAGGAAAGCCAUAAUCCUGGAGAGAAAAUACGCACACAUGCAGAAAUAUAGCUGACCACUGGAUGAUGUCUUUAGUGCAGUCAUAAUUACCUGAAAAAGGUUCUAACUGCCACUGCAAAACUACAACUGAGACACUGAAAGAGAUCUGAGCUAACCAACUCCAUCUUGUUUCCAACUUCCAAGCCAUUGUUGUUCAUUCCUGGGUGCAGGCUGAACUACCUCUGGAGGAACUUAGUUUAUACCUUAUAGUUUAGAACAAAGACGGUAACAAAACAAACCACUUUCUUGCCUGGGGGCUAGACUGCCUUUGUAGGACUAACAAAUUAGCCAAAAGAUUAGAAAUUAUGGUUUAGGAGUCAUGCAGCUGGAGGCUACAAGACUCUGACCCUCCCCAUAUUGCUCCUGGGGAUAACAUCACUUUCUAAAACCUAAGAUCAGUGCUUGAGAUAUUUUGCAGACACUGCACUCGAUGGAUCAGCUGGCACCAUGCGGAUCGAUAAACUGGCUCAUCUGAUCUUGUGGCUCCCACUCAGGAACUGACUGACUCAGUGCAAGAGGACAGCUUCAGCUCCCUAUGAGUUCAUUUCCGACCCAACCAAUCAGCACUCCUGACUCACUGGCUGCCCCCACUUUGACCAAAUUACUCUUAAAAACUCUGAUCUGUGAAUGCUCGAAUGCUGAGGGAGACUGAUUUGAGUAAUAAUAAAACUCCAGUCUCCCGCACAGCUGGCUGUGUGUGAAUUGCUCUUUCUCUAUUGCAAUUCCCCUGUCUUGUUAAAUUGGCUCUGUCUAGGCAGCAAGCAAGGUAAACCUGUUGGACGGUUACAGGACCUCCAAGAAAAGGCCGAUUAAUUUUGCUUGUGUCACUCUGGAAGGCUUCCCAGAAGAGAUGAUGUUUGAAUUGGAUCCUGAAGGGUGACAGAGGAAAUGGCAUGAACAGAGACAUGGAGAUGGGAAGACUGGGAGCAUGUUUAGGGGAGGGCAAAUAUGCCAGUAUUACAGUGCUUUCUGAGUGAGCAGGAUAGGACCAGAUCUCAAAGGACCUUAAGUGCCAAGCUAAAAAUGUGAACUUUAUUGGCCAGGCACGGUGACUUACGCCUGUAAUCCAAGCACUUUGGGAGGCUGAGGCGGGCAGAUCACGAGGUCAGGAGAUCGAGACCAUCCUGGCUAACACGGUGAAACCCCGUCUCUGCUAAAAAUACAAAAAAUUAGACGGGCGUGGUGGCAGGUUCCUAUAGUCCCAGCUACUCGGUAGGCUGAGGCAGGAGAAUGGUGUGAACCCAGGAGGCGGAGCUUACAGUUAGCAGAGAUCAUGCCACUGCACUCCAGCCUGGGUGACAGAGCAAGACUCCGUCUCAAAAAAAAGAAAAAAAAAGAAAAGUGAACUUUGUCAGGGGUUUGACCUAAUCAGAUCCCUCUGGCUGCAGUGUGGAGGACAGAAUAGACUUUAAGAAGCAGGACAAGCAGGACGUGGGGAGAACAGUUAUUGAAGUUUAUUGUGCACAUUCAGAGAAUACCAGGGUAGUAUAAAGGAGGAUGACGGCAAGUGGGAGAGGAGACAAAAAGAGAGAUGAAAACCUCCUCAUCAUCAAUAACGCCACCUUAUUGAAGAGGCCUGGCUUGACCACUCUAUAGAAAAUAGAAUAGAAAAUAGUGUAGAAAUAUCACACAUCCUCAUCACUUCCCUUCCUCCACUUGCUAUAUUUUUCUCCUUAGCAUUAUCACCAUCAGUAUGCAGAUGCAGGUACCACAAAGGCUGCACUUGGGAAGCAAAUACAUGUCUGAGCUUCCUAUAAGCCAAGGCAAAGAGAGAAACAUGGCCAGUUAUGACACCCACAGUCUUCAUUAGGCAAGGACAUGACAUUUUGCCAAAUGAAGUCCUAUUUCUUCAUAGGAUAUAUUUACUUUUCAGAUGCUUAUUAUCUAUUCUCUCACUAGCAUGAACAUUCCAUACAGGAAAGGCUUUUGUUUUAUUAUUUGCUAUGUCCUUGGUGCCAGAACAGUGCCUGGUGUAUAGUAAGUGCUCAAUAAAUAUUUGCUGAUUUUAUAAAUAAAUAAAUAAAGUUUGAGUUUCUUCCCACUCUGUAAAUCAAUAGGUCAAUAUGGUUGAUCAGCUCCUGUUUUCAUUUAUGGAUAAAAUUUACUUCAUUCUAAAAAGCAUUUGAGAUGGCUCCAAAAAUAUAUAAUAUUAAAAGAACAAAACAAAAUGAAGUCUAAAUGACAAAGAGAAUUGCCUAAGAUGAUGAAGCACAGAAAAUCAGUAUGCAGAUGCAGGUACCACAAGGGCUGUACUAAGAUUUUCAAAAUGGGAAGCAAAUACGUGUCUGAGCUUCCUAUACACCAAGGCAAAGAGAGAAACAUGGCCAGUUAUGGCACCCACAGUCUUCAUUAGACAAAGGUGUGACAUUUUCUCAAAGGAAGUCCUAUUUCUUUUUGGUGGAUAAAGAUGAUGUUGAAACCAUCUGCUUUAUGUCCAUGUUGUUUGGUGGGGUGACAGUUAACCCCUUAGCUCUUUUGGAGGGAGCGCAACCUGUGUUCAGCCUUACUUAUCCACUGCAAGAGGUGACCAGAAAUUUAUCCAAACCAGAAACAGCUAGAGAGCAUGAAAAGCUGCAGACAGAUUAAGUGACACUCACCCAAGGGUAGGAUUGAGUGGGGAGAGAAUGUAAACACUCCAUUCCUGACCUCCUGUCCCCUGCAGAAGCUUUAUCAAUCUCUAAGAGAAUUACCUCUGCUUAUAAAAAGGAAAGUUACAUAGAAAUCUGGCAAAGUUACAUUGAAAUCUGGAUCCACUGUUGGUCUCUCUUCCUUUGAUUUAUUAAAGUUUCUUUGAAGUACACUUAAGUAAGAGGUUGAGUUUGGCUGAUGAUUUAUUUUUAAGAGAGUGAAACAAGGUGAGAAAGAGAGAGGAAGCUGCUUUUCCAAAUGAUUAAAAGGUGAGUGUGACUCUAGUAAAGGAUUUUCUUCCUUAAAAGAUAUUUUAAGGGAUUUUUUAAAAGGUAAUACAUCCACAUGAUAAAAAAAAUCCAAUAAGGCCAAAAAACGUAUCAUAUUUUUUGCAUUUUUGCAAAGAUAUUUAUAUUUAGGCAUAUACAUAAAUGCUUUGGUUAAAUAAAUGAGAA